GACGAACGCUGGCGGCGUGCUUAACACAUGCAAGUCGAACGGAAAGGCCCUGCUUUUGUGGGGUGCUCGAGUGGCGAACGGGUGAGUAACACGUGAGUGACCUGCCCUUGACUUUGGGAUAACUUCAGGAAACUGGGGCUAAUACCGGAUAGGAGCUCCUGCUGCAUGGUGGGGGUUGGAAAGUUUCGGCGGUUGGGGAUGGACUCGCGGCUUAUCAGCUUGUUGGUGGGGUAGUGGCUUACCAAGGCUUUGACGGGUAGCCGGCCUGAGAGGGUGACCGGCCACAUUGGGACUGAGAUACGGCCCAGACUCCUACGGGAGGCAGCAGUGGGGAAUAUUGCACAAUGGGCGGAAGCCUGAUGCAGCAACGCCGCGUGCGGGAUGACGGCCUUCGGGUUGUAACCCGCUUUCGCCUGUGACGAAGCGUGAGUGACGGUAAUGGGUAAAGAAGCACCGGCUAACUACGUG
rnacentral:rRNA from 1 species